UGGUAGGUCAAGUUGAAGUAUAUGUGUGUGUCAUGGAAAAACAAGUCUAAAAAGAGAAGGAACAAAAAUACCUCUACAACGGAGAGCUAUCUUAAAUAGCAAUGUUUUUAUGGCAUGUGAUUGAAGAUUAUUAAGAUUGUGCCUAAAACUGAGGAUCUUCCACAACAGUUUACAAGCAGUGAAGGGGCAUUUUUAACCACUGGAAAAAUAAACAGCCAAG
rnacentral:lncRNA from 1 species